AUACUCUGGUUUCUCUUCAGAUUGCAUAAAUCUUUCACCUUUUACAAAAGAUUUCUGUAGAGAGGAACAAUUCUGAGUUUUUAACCAAUUUUUUUGAGGACUUGCAUCUGUAAGGCU